UUAUAGAGUAACUUCACACUAAAUCCACAGUUUUAUACCAUCAAAUCCUUCAUCCAGGAGAAAAAAAAUCAAGUAAUGCUGCUGUGUAGAUCCAAAAAAGGAAAUGAGGAAAAAAGGAAAAAAAAGAAAGCCUAUCCAAACUUCAAAGCAACAUCAUGUUCAAACUCUCCUCACGUGUUUAUUAUUGUGUUUGGGUUUAAGUUUACAUCCCCU